rnacentral:rRNA from 1 species
UACGUAGGGGGCAAGCGUUGUCCGGAUUUAUUGGGCGUAAAGAGCGUGUAGGCGGCCAAGCAGGUCCGCUGUGAAAACUCGAGGCUCAACCUCGAGACGUCGGUGGAAACCGUUUGGCUAGAGUCCGGAAGAGGAGAGUGGAAUUCCCGGUGUAGUGGUGGAAUGCGUAGAUAUCGGGAGGAACACCAGUGGCGAAGGCGGUUGCCUGGGGCUUUGCUGACGCUGAUGCGCGAAAGCGUGGGGAGCGAUCCGG